UUCUUAAAAAUUUACUAUACUUUUUAUAUGUAUUUCAGAUGAGGAAACUGCUUUAAGCUACACUUCAACUGUGAUGUCCAAAUGGGGAAAAAAUAUUUCCCUCUUGCUGAAUUGAAAGAUAAAUGGGCGAUUUUGGUCACUUCAUACGCUUGCAAAUUGAUUAAUUUUGAUUGUGAGGAGUUGUAUGCUGAUUGCAAGCCUCUCGUGCCUCUCGUGAGUUCAAAAAGAUUUCUCAAUAUACAAUUUCCCAGUUGAAAAUUUUCGAAGAGGAAGAGAAGCCCACCGAUC